rnacentral:rRNA from 1 species
UACAGAGGGGGCAAGCGUUGUCCGGAUUUAUUGGGCGUAAAGAGCGUGUAGGCGGCCAUACAGGUCCGUUGUGAAAACUCGAGGCUCAACCUCGAGACGUCGAUGGAAACCGUAUGGCUAGAGUCCGGAAGAGGAGAGUGGAAUUCCUGGUGUAGCGGUGAAAUGCGUAGAGAUGUGGAGGAACACCGAUGGCGAAGGCAGCCUCCUGGGCCAACACUGACGCUCAUGCACGAAAGCGUGGGGAGCAAACAGG